UAAUACGGAGGAUGCGAGCGUUAUCCGGAUUCAUUGGGUUUAAAGGGUGCGUAGGCGGUUUUUUAAGUCAGUGGUGAAAUCCUGCGGCUCAACCGUAGAACUGCCAUUGAAACUGAAGAACUUGAAUAUAGUUGAGGUAGGCGGAAUGUGCAGUGUAGCGGUGAAAUGCUUAGAUAUUGCACAGAACACCGAUUGCGAAGGCAGCUUACCAAGCUAUUAUUGACGCUGAGGCACGAAAGCGUGGGGAUCGAACAGG
rnacentral:rRNA from 1 species